rnacentral:lncRNA from 1 species
GGUUGACUGACUGGAAAGCAGCUUUGUGGGAAAGGAUCUGGGUGUUCCGGUGGGCACCAAGCCAAACAGGAGCCAUCAGUGUUCCCUUGCCACAUAGGAGACUAAUUAUAUCAUGGGCUGCAUUAGGCAAAAGAUUGACAAUAAGUCAAGGACAGUGAUUCUUCCUCUUUACUCAGCACUGGUGAGGUCAAAUCUGAAGUGCUCACAAUCCUCACAUGUCCUUUGAUUCAAAGGAAGAUUCAUGAGCACUUAUGCUUUCCCUCAUUACUGUGAUACAUCAGGACGUAAAAUAAAUAUGUUACAGUAGUUUACUUCAAUAAAGAUAAAAAAACUGAUUUUUAUAAGGCUAAAGUAGAAAUUUACUACUGUCAAAAAGAGGAAAUGAAAUCUUCUGUAAGCUUAAUUCAAGGAGCUGAAAAGAAUGCAGGUUAUAAAAUCAAAUUUAUUUUUGAAUAGGUAUAAAAAUUCUAUAGAUGAUUUUAUAUUUAAGGAGAAUGAACCAGCCUGAAGACUUCUCAUUAACUUUCAAGGGCCAUUUGGCAGAUAAUGGGAUUCAUCCACUAAAACACUUAUUUUUCUUGUCUUAUAGACACAUAUGCUUAUCUCGGAACAACAAGAUCCCCUGUAGGAAGAAAAAUCUUGUCUGCUUUGAGGCCAGAAGAAAAAAGGAGUUUUCAUAG